rnacentral:misc_RNA from 1 species
GGAGAGCAAAAGGAAACCAUUAGAAUUGAUAACUGGAAACGUGAGCACAUAUUGCAGUUCUUGAAAGAGAAGGUUAAGCCAUCAUCCGAUAUCUAAUGUGGCUGGUAAUCUAGUCCCGUUUUGAUCAAGAGCAGUGUUAAGUGUUCAGCCUGCAUCUAGUUUCAGAAAACUCCAGUUCCCCACUUAUUGUUUUUAAGAAACUGUGAGAUGAGAUUAAUUGCUACACACAAGUUCAAAAGCUACUUUCAUUUACAAAACAUGCAACUGGAUCCUUGUGCUUUUGACGUAUCGUUUGGUUUCGUCAGUC